rnacentral:rRNA from 1 species
UGCCAGACUCCUACGGGAGGCAGCAGUGGGGAAUAUUGCACAAUGGGGGAAACCCUGAUGCAGCGACGCCGCGUGAGUGAAGAAGUAUUUCGGUAUGUAAAGCUCUAUCAGCAGGGAAGAAGAAGGACGGUACCUGACUAAGAAGCCCCGGCUAACUACGUGCCAGCAGCCGCGGUAAUACGUAGGGGGCAAGCGUUAUCCGGAUUUACUGGGUGUAAAGGGAGCGUAGACGGCAGGGCAAGUCUGAAGUGAAAGCCCGGGGCCCAACCCCGGGACUGCUUUGGAAACUGUCCGGCUGGAGUGCAGGAGGGGUGGGCGGAAUUCCUAGUGUAGCGGUGAAAUGCGUAGAUAUUAGGAGGAACACCGGCGGCGAAGGCGGCCCACUGGACUGUAACUGACGUUGAGGCUCGAAAGCGUGGGGAGCAAACAGGAUUAGAUACCCCUGUAA